rnacentral:rRNA from 1 species
UACGUAGGGGGCAAGCGUUGUCCGGAAUCAUUGGGCGUAAAGCGCGUGUAGGCGGUCCGGUAAGUCGGCUGUGAAAGUCCAGGGCUCAACCCUGGGAUGCCGGUGGAUACUGUCGAGCUCGAGUCCGGAAGAGGCGAGUGGAAUUCCUGGUGUAGCGGUGAAAUGCGCAGAUAUCAGGAGGAACACCAAUGGCGAAGGCAGCUCGCUGGGAUGGAGUGACUGACGCCGGAGACGCGAAAGCGUGGGGAGCAAACAGG